rnacentral:ncRNA from 1 species
CCGAUUUGGUCGCCCGAAGAGGACGCCAAGAGGGAAGCCGGUGAGAGUCCGGCGCAGUCCCGCUGCUGUAAGCUCAAGAGUUGAGACCCAAUCUGCUACGUCACUGUACGGCGCCAUAGUCGUAUGGGAAGACGGGGUACUCAGAGUAAGCCAGAAGACCUGCCAAAUCGUUA